rnacentral:rRNA from 1 species
GGAGGAAAGCAGGGGAUCGAAAGACCUCGCGUUAUUGGAGCGGCCGAUGCCGGAUUAGCUAGUUGGUGAGGUAAAGGCUCACCAAGGCGACGAUCCGUAGCUGGUCUGAGAGGACGACCAGCCACACUGGGACUGAGACACGGCCCAGACUCCUACGGGAGGCAGCAGUGGGGAAUUUUGGACAAUGGGGGCAACCCUGAUCCAGCCAUGCCGCGUGAAUGAAGAAGGCCUUCGGGUUGUAAAGCUCUUUCGCAAGGAAAGAAAACUUACCUACUAAUACUAGGUGAGGAUGACGGUACCUUGAUAAGAAGCACCGGCUAACUACGUGCCAGCAGCCGCGGUAAUACGUAGGGUGCGAGCGUUAAUCGGAAUUACUGGGCGUAAAGCGUGCGCAGGCGGUUUCGUAAGCCAGAUGUGAAAUCCCCGGGCUCAACCUGGGAACUGCGUUUGAAACUACAGGGCUAG